rnacentral:rRNA from 1 species
AUCCCCAGCUUGCUGGGGGGAUUAGUGGCGAACGGGUGAGUAACACGUGAGUAACCUGCCCUUGACUCUGGGAUAAGCCUGGGAAACUGGGUCUAAUACUGGAUACGACCUUUCACCGCAUGGUGGGGGGUGGAAAGCUUUUGUGGUUUUGGAUGGACUCGCGGCCUAUCAGCUUGUUGGUGGGGUAAUGGCCUACCAAGGCGACGACGGGUAGCCGGCCUGAGAGGGUGGACGGCCACACUGGGACUGAGACACGGCCCAGACUCCUACGGGAGGCAGCAGUGGGGAAUAUUGCACAAUGGGCGCAAGCCUGAUGCAGCGACGCCGCGUGAGGGAUGAAGGCCUUCGGGUUGUAAACCUCUUUCAGUAGGGAAGAAGCGAAAGUGACGGUACCUGCAGAAGAAGCGCCGGCUAACUACGUGCCAGCAGCCGCGGUAAUACGUAGGGCGCAAGCGUUAUCCGGAAUUAUUGGGCGUAAAGAGCUCGUAGGCGGUUUGUCGCGUCUGCCGUGAAAGUCCGGGGCUUAACUCCGGAUCUGCGGUGGGUACGGGCAGACUUGAGUGAUGUAGGGGAGACUGGAAUUCCUGGUGUAGCGGUGAAAUGCGCAGAUAUCAGGAGGAACACCGAUGGCGAAGGCAGGUCUCUGGGCAUUAACUGACGCUGAGG